AUAGACGGAAAGACCUGUGAUGAUGACGUGAAUUGCCGAUGUAGUAACGGAACACUACUAAUCCUAAAAUCUACAUAUUAAUCUGACAGUGUCUACUGUUUGCCACUUCAGGACCCAGCCUCUAGCCACUAGAAGUAGCAAUGUAUGCAACAAGAGAGUGAAGAUGAAAUAGUCAAUGCAUCUCUGUACCACAAGUAAAAUAUUUUGAGUGGAAGAUGGUUGAGAUUGAUUCCUGUAUCGACGGACAGACACAUGCUAUGAAGAUUCUCUUAAAAAUAAUAAAAUACAAUUAAUAAAUUCAAUGUUUAACAUGA